rnacentral:rRNA from 1 species
UACGAAGGGUGCUAGCGUUGUUCGGAAUCACUGGGCGUAAAGCGCGCGCAUGCGGCCUUGCAAGUCAGGGGUGAAAUCCUUGGGCUCAACCCAAGAAUUGCCUUUGAAACUGCAUCGCUGGAGCGUCGGAGGGGAUAGCGGAAUUCCUAAUGUAGUGGUGAAAUACGUAGAUAUUAGGAGGAACACCGGUGGCGAAGGCGGCUAUCUGGACGACAACUGACGCUGAGGCGCGAAGGCGUGGGGAUCAAACAGG